rnacentral:tRNA from 1 species
UUCCUGGUGGCUCAGAUGGUAAAAGCAUCUGCCUACAAUGCAGGAGACCCAGGUUCAAUCCCUGGGUUGGGAA